UCCAGACUCCUACGGGAGGCAGCAGUGAGGAAUAUUGGUCAAUGGUCGGGAGACUGAACCAGCCAAGCCGCGUGAGGGAGGAAGGUACAGAGUAUCGUAAACCUCUUUUGUCAGGGAACAAAGGCGGGGACGUGUCCCCGGAUGAGUGUACCUGAAGAAAAAGCAUCGGCUAACUCCGUGCCAGCAGCCGCGGUAAUACGGAGGAUGCGGGCGUUAUCCGGAUUUAUUGGGUUUAAAGGGUGCGUAGGCGGGACGGUAAGUCAGCGGUAAAAAUGCGGAGCUCAACUCCGUCGAGCCGUUGAAACUGGCUGUCUUGAGAUGUCGAGAGGUAUGCGGAAUGCGCAGUGUAGCGGUGAAAUGCUUAGAUAUUGCGCAGAACUCCGAUUGCGAAGGCAGCAUACCGGCGGCGAUCUGACGCUGAGGCACGAAAGCGUGGGUAUCGAACAGGAUUAGAUACCCCUGUAGA
rnacentral:rRNA from 1 species